CAUCGCCUCCUGCAACUAUAUUGAGUAUAGGAGGUNCCAGCCUGCCCAGUGACUACGGGUUCAACGGCCGCGGUAUUUUGACCGUGCAAAGGUAGCGCAAUCACUUGUCUCUUAAAUAGAGACCUGUAUGAAUGGCUAGACGAGGGCUUAACUGUCUCCCCCUUCCAGUCAGUGAAAUUGAUCUAUCCGUGCAGAAGCGGGUAUAAUUAUACAAGACGAGAAGACCCUUUGGAGCUUAAGGUACAAAAUUCAACCACGUUAAACGACUCUACAUGAAGCAAGAACUUAGUGGCGAAUGAAAUUUUACCUUCGGUUGGGGCGACCACGGAGGAGAAAGAAGCCUCCGAGUGGACUGGGCUAAUCCCCAAAGCCAAGAGAUACAUCUAUAAGCCGCAGAACAUCUGACCAAGAAUGAUCCGACUGAUAAAGCCGAUCAACGAACCAAGUUACCCUAGGGAUAACAGCGCAAUCCUCUCCCAGAGUCCAUAUCGACGAGGGGGUUUACGACCUCGAUGUUGGAUCAGGACAUCCUAAU
rnacentral:rRNA from 1 species